rnacentral:rRNA from 1 species
AUUGAACGCUGGCGGCAUGCCUUACACAUGCAAGUCGAACGGCAGCACGGGUGCUUGCACCUGGUGGCGAGUGGCGAACGGGUGAGUAAUAUAUCGGAACGUACCUUAUUGUGGGGGAUAACGCAGCGAAAGCUGUGCUAAUACCGCAUAAUCCCUAAUGGGGAAAGCGGGGGACCGUAAGGCCUCGCGCAAUUAGAGCGGCCGAUACCUGAUUAGCUAGUUGGGGAGGUAAAGGCUAACCAAGGCAAAGAUCGGUAGCUGGUCUGAGAGGACGAUCGGCCACACUGGGACUGGGACACGGCCCAGACUCCUACGGGAGGCAGCAGUGGGGAAUUUUGGACAAUGGGGGCAACCCUGAUCCAGCAAUGCCGCGUGAGUGAAGAAGGCCUUCGGGUUGUAAAGCUCUUUUGUCAGGGAAGAAACAGCAGCUCUAACACAGUUUGCGAAUGACGGUACCUGAAGAAUAAGCACCGGCUAACUACGUGCCAGCCGCCGCCGUAA